rnacentral:rRNA from 1 species
GACGAACGCUGGCGGCGUGCCUAAUACAUGCAAGUUGAGCGCUGAAGGUUGGUACUUGUACCAACUGGAUGAGCAGCGAACGGGUGAGUAACGCGUGGGUAAUCUUCCUUUGAGCGGGGGACAACAUUUGGAAACGAAUGCUAAUACCGCAUAAAAACUUUAAACACAAGUUUUAAGUUUGAAAGAUGCAAUUGCAUCACUCAAAGAUGAUCCCGCGUUGUAUUAGCUAGUUGGUGAGGUAAAGGCUCACCAAGGCGAUGAUACAUAGCCGACCUGAGAGGGUGAUCGGCCACAAUGGGAAUGAGACACGGCCCAAACUCCUACGGGAGGCAGCAGUAGGGAAUCUUCGGCAAUGGACGAAAGUCUGACCGAGCAAAGCCGCGUGAGUGAAGAAGGUUCUCGGAUCGUAAAACUCUGUUGGUAGAGAAGAACGUUGGUGAGAGUGGAAAGCUCAUCAAGUGACGGUAACUAAACAGAAAGGGACGGCUAACUACGUG